rnacentral:rRNA from 1 species
ACACGUGUUACAAUGGGGGGUACAGAGGGCCGCUACCACGCGAGUGGAUGCCAAUCCCCAAAACCUCUCUCAGUUCGGACUGGAGUCUGCAACCCGACUCCACGAAGCUGGAUUCGCUAGUAAUCGCGCAUCAGCCACGGCGCGGUGAAUACGUUCCCGGGCCUUGUACACACCGCCCGUCAAGCCAUGGGAGCCGGGGGUACCUGAAGUGCGUAACCGCGAGGAGCGCCCUAGGGUAAAACCGGUGACUGGGGCUAAGUCGUAACAAGGUAAC